UUUUUGAUAUGAACAUUAGUAUUGUAUAUUUUAAAGAUAUGUUAUAUUUUCAGGCUUAUUAAUUUCUUUUUGAUUACCUGAAAAGUUGAUUUUUUAAAAAAAUAUAGCUGGAUAGGCAUUUUGAGAGUGAGAUCUCAAUUUCUCUUUUUAGAGCCUUCACAUACUUGGAUGUUUCUUUCCAUUCUCCUUCUUCCUGAGAAGAAAUGCAAGUUUCUUUGCUGUGCUCCACAGCAAUGAGCUUCAUUUAUUAAUAUACUGCCAUUAUUAAUAUGUUAUCUUCUUUACUAGUGGGCAUGGGACCUACAUUGCUUCAUGUCUUCAUUCAUGCCACAUGUUAACCAGUUCCUUGUAUUUGUGUCCUGGUAACCCCUGAUUGCUCAGAGGAAAACCCUUCCUUCAGCAGAAAUGAGACAUUCCCUUGUGGGUUAUUCUGGUUGCUAGAGCAAUAUUUAGCCUUGUUCUCCUCACCCUACCAUGACUCCUGGGAUCACUGUUGAUCUUCUUGCUUUUGAUGGAAAAAGCCCAGCUUCCCUUGGCUUUCCAACUGAUAGUAAUGGUGCUGCCUUCUUCAGGGCAAGAGGCAAGAAGGAUAUGAAGGGAAUGGAUGCCUCUUACAAUGGACUUGCCCUGUACUUGGUUUUGUUGCUUUGUUCUCUCACAACUUAUAACUCUUGAAAGGGAAUAUGAAAAUUUACAAGUCCAGUGUCUGACAGCCCAGGAACUACUAACGCUUCAGACUGAUGUUCCCUCCAUUGACUCACUCUUUGUGGCACGCUGAACUUUCCAAAAAGGGCCAGAGCUCUAUUUCUCAUUCUCUAUGCUAUUCUGUCCUACAUGCGGUCCCCCAUCAGGAAGUGAAGUCUAUCUCCUCCCCCUCAAACCUGGGUGAGUCCUGUGACACCCUAGAUGAGUAUAACACAGUACAAGUGACACUGAAUCAUUUCUGAGGUUAGGUUAUAGAAGGCGGGCUACACUUAGAGAACUUUGAUUCAACCUGUCCACCUACCCUGAAACUGCAUGCUGGAAAGGCCAUGUGGAGACAUCACACAGAGACAGAGACAGCUGUCCAAGGAACCCCAGCUCUUUCAGCCCCCAGUUUUGUGUCCUUUCCACCCAAGUGAGAGAGAUGGAAGUGAGACUUCAGAGGAUUCCAGAUCUCAUCCCCUGAGCUUUCCCAGCAGACACAGGGUGGAUCAAAAGUUUCUCUCCAUAUCUUUUCCAAGUUGCAGAUUUAUGAGCAAAAUAACAGUUGUUGGUCUAAGUGACUAGGUUUUAGAGUGGUCUGUCAUGCAGGAAUACAUGGAGAGAACACUUCUCAUUGCCAGAGUUCAGACACAGACUCUGAUUUGAUGCCUUUUCUGUAAAGGUGGAAAUUUGAGAUUCUAGAUGUGCCCUUAGAUGGCAGAGUAGAAUGAUAAGUCAGAAGGUUUUAAACUCUUUGUGUUGAGGCUUCUGUGUGAAAAUAACACUAGAGAUACUUUUCCAGGGCCCUUUGGAGGCUGGGAGAAAGAAAAAGGAAUUAAAGUGGAUCGGAAGGAAGGGAAGCAUGUGACAGGCUAUUCCUGGUAGCUCCACAUCGGAGGUCAAGAGACUACCAUUUCUUUCCGUGUCAUGUAUUACAAUCCCAAGCCCCCAACAGUGUUCACUGCCCUACAGAAGAGCACAAGAGUCUUACUUUUCUUAGUGCAUGAUUCCUCCACAGAGAAAGAAGACUACUCACCUCUUUCUUUUCAUUUGCUGCUUAUAUUUUUACGACAUCUGACCUCAGGGAUCAGGAGAAAGAUGGGUGACUCUCCAUGGUGCUGGCCAAGGAUGACCCUGUCUUUUGAAUGCCUCCUGCUCCUGAGAUGCUUUAUUCCUUCACGGGAACUCAUCUAUAGGCCCUCUGUCUUGACAAAGGCAUCCUAGAUCCAAAAAUGAUCAAGGACUUGUCACUAGGUUUCAGAUAUUUAAUUGUAGGAUGUGAUAUAAAGAACAAUCCAAAAAGGAAGACCACUAAUUGUUCACUUACUUUAGUACCACAAAGAUGCAUGUAUGUCUGUGUGGUAUGUGUGUGUGUGUGUGUGUGUGUGUGUGUGUGUGUGUGUAGUAUAUGUACUCAACAGACCAAGGACUAAAAUAGCCCUUCUAGAGAGUCUGAGAUAUUUUAUUCAUUGAGAAUGUAACACUUCUUAUACUAGACUUUCAAGUAUGUUAAUCAGAAUUUUCUCUGCUGUUACUGGAUGUGAGUAUAAGCAUUCCAUGUGCCACUGUCCUAGAAAGUGGAAGGUGGGAACCCUUGGGUCUGGGGAGGACCAGAAUCUGGGACAUGCAGUUGGAGGAUCAGUUGGUCUGCCUUCCUCUUUCCUCCACCUACCCUCCUGUCCCCCAUGUCCUCUCUCCAGGUCCUUUCAUUGCUGUACAAGACCACACCCAAGAAUGGUAGAGGAGCUCGAAAUGGAAUGUCAGUGAGGAGGUCCUGUGGGGGUAGGAGGAUAGGCUUCUUUCCACCCCCUCCCCCAGUAUUGUGCUAUACAGGUGGCCGCUGUGGCAAGGGGAUGAGGGAGAACUCUGGACCUGAAGGCAGACCUGUGUUCAAGUCCAGGCUCUGAUGUUUGAUUGCAAACCAGUCAUCAAGUCAUUUUUUUUCCCCUCAACUGUAAAAAGAUAACUAGUUGUGAGGACUACAUGGGAUGGUGAAUUAAGAAAGAAUUUUGUCAACUGCCAAACACUCCACUUAUGCCUACUAGUGAAGACAUAAGAAGUGGUGAAGGGGGUGAAUCUAAGAGGCUGGUGAGCACUGCAGCAGUGAGGGGACAGAGGGGAAGAGAGGAGAGGCAUCCCCAGAGACAGGAUAUCUGGAUCAGAGUUCCUGCCAGCUGAGUCUGGUGAGUCCAACCCAGGAGAGGAAGAGGAGAGGCUCCCAUGGAGGUGGGCAUGUGCCCAGACUGAAGCUGCAGGUGAGAGGGGAGAGCAGGUGAAUAAUAGUGGCCCUGAGCCUGGCACUGGCUAAAUGCCAGGACUGUGCUGAGGCCUGACAUGCUUGUUUACUUUCCAUCACAACUUUGAUGGGACAGGUGCUAUUAUCCUCAUUUAUGGAGGAGAGUAAGUUCUAAUAGGUACAAAAAGCUCUAAAAACCACACAUCCAGUACAUGGCAGAAUACGGAUUCAAAUCUAGAUUUUUCAGACUCCAAAGCCCCAGCCAGGAAGAUAGAGGGAAAGUUUUAUUUUGUUUUAAUAGAUUUUUUAUAACAAGGAGCAGAGUUAAAAGAACCUACUGUGAGGCAGUUCCCAAAACCAAGGUUUCAAAGAAUCAGGGUCAAUAAUAGAAAGCAGGAUAAGUCAGAAGAUGAGGGUGAGCUGCGGAGUCAGAGGCGUAUACCCCAUUCACCCUGUGAAGUGGCUCAUGGGUGGGCUGGAUGCAUUUAAGAGGCUGUGGAGAGCAACUUCCUGCAGCCUAUUCUAGCCUUUUUUUUUUUUUUUUGGUCUUUUUUCCUUUUUCUGGGGCCGCUCCCGCAGCAUAUGGAGCGGCCCUGGAAAAGGCAAAAAGACAAAAAAAAAAAAAAAAAAAAAAGACAAAAAAAUAUGUAUGUAUAAAGGAAGCCUUUGCCAGAAUUGGAGUCUCAAGUGUGAAAUUAGAAAAUAGUGUGACUGUCAAGGAAAACAGAGGCAGGCAAGUCCUUCAAGGUCCUCCAAAGUGGACAGACACAGGGCUUUACAGUGAGUUUUUCUUUACAGAGAAGAUUUCUGUGGGGGUGUUUUAUGUAGCUACUAUUUUUUUUUAAAAUCAAGGCUUCGAGUUUAGGAUUGCAAAAAAAGUUUCCACCUGAGGCAUUCUAGAUGGAAAAUCCUAUUUUUUGUGAGGCAUUCUAGAUGGAAAAUCCUAUUUUUAAGUUUAAAAAGAAAUUUAUAAGCCCCCCUACAAAGAAAUCUAAGGAAUGUAUUGAAAGAGGAAAUUUCGAUAAACUGUUCUUGAUUAAACAAUUAGAAAAAGAAAAAAUUCUGCUUUGCUUUCC
rnacentral:lncRNA from 1 species